rnacentral:rRNA from 1 species
AUACUGUUAAGCUAGAGUAGGUGAGAGGGAAGUAGAAUUCCAGGUGUAGCGGUGAAAUGCGUAGAGAUCUGGAGGAAUACCGAUGGCGAAGGCAGCUUCCUGGCAUCAUACUGACACUGAGGCUCGAAAGCGUGGGUAGCAAACAGGAUUAGAUACCCUGGUAGUCCACGCCGUAAACGAUGUCUACUAGUCGUUGGGUCCCUUGAGGACUUAGUGACGCAGCUAACGCAAUAAGUAGACCGCCUGGGGAGUACGGCCGCAAGGUUAAAACUCAAAUGAAUUGACGGGGGCCCGCACNAGCGGUGGAGCAUGUGGUUUAAUUCGAUGCAACGCGAAGAACCUUACCUGGUCUUGACAUACACAGAAUCUUGUAGAGAUACGAGAGUGCCUUCGGGAAUUGUGAUACAGGUGCUGCAUGGCUGUCGUCAGCUCGUGUCGUGAGAUGUUGGGUUAAGUCCCGCAACGAGCGCAACCCUUGUCCUUAGUUACCAGCGGGUUAAGCCGGGAACUCUAAGGAUACUGCCAGUGACAAACUGGAGGAAGGCGGGGACGACGUCAAGUCAUCAUGGCCCUUACGACCAGGGCUACACACGUGCUACAAUGGUAGGUACAGAGGGCAGCUACACAGCGAUGUGAUGCGAAUCUCAAAAAGCCUAUCGUAGUCCAGAUUGGAGUCUGCAACUCGACUCCAUGAAGUAGGAAUCGCUAGUAAUCGCGGAUCAGAAUGCCGCGGUGAAUACGUUCCCGGGCCUUGUACACACCGCCCGUCACACCAUGGGAGUUGAUUGCACCAGAAGUGGUUAGCCGAACCUUUUAGGACGGCG